CUGCCCCUUUAACAGAGGUGGCAGUUGUUGAGCGCUGUUUUCAGUGAGCCAAAAGCUGACAGGUGUGUGCAUCGUACUUUAGCAAAAAUCUUUGCAAGUCCACUGACCGAUGCAUGGUGCGUGUGUAGAUGUGAGAAGAGAAAAAAGAGGAAAAGUUAGAAUUGAAAUGAUAAAAAACUCAGAAGUCAUGAAACUAAACGAGAAGAGACUGUCAGCGAGCUGCGAGUUCGAGUAGGACGACGUAAACUGUGUAAACAAUUGAUUUCCCGGCUGGUUUUUUUUUGAGUCCUUCGCCUGGGUCCUCAGUCCUUGGUUCCUACCCUGUCAUCCAUCCCCAUCUCCAUCCCAGUGGCUACUUUCCCUUGGACGUGAGGUCAUCCAUAUCUCCAUCCACAUCUUCAUCUUCACCGUGAUACUUACCAUUGGACGUUCACUGUUAAAGAGGGCGGUAGGACUUUGAGUGCACUCGUUUUAUUUUAUUUAUUUGGGCCCAUUUUUCCAUUUUUUUUUCUAGUUUUUUAUUCAUUUGAACUUUUGGGACAGUUUGCUUUUCAGUACCUGAGAUCUCAGAGGUUUUUGUUACUUGUAUUUUAUAUAUUUUUUUUUGUAUUUUGGGUUCAAUUGUGGUUGAAAGAUCUUUGUUUAAUGUACCUCCUUUAAACUUUCA